UACCAAUGCAAACCUUAAUGUGUGUGGUUUAGAUUUUUUUUUUUUAAGAAAGAGGGAGAAAGAAAAGAGAACAAGAAGAAAGAAAGAAGUUCUAAAGGUGAGAUCCUUAAGAAAGUUCUAGACCUAAAGACAAAAGAUGAGAAGAAUUAGUUGUAGUUGAGUGUUAAUUGUAAUUAAGUUAGUAGAUAAUUAAAUCUAGACACCUACAGGUUUCUUAGACCUAACAGUUCGAUAU
rnacentral:lncRNA from 1 species